rnacentral:rRNA from 1 species
UACGUAGGGUGCAAGCGUUACUCGGAAUUAUUGGGCGUAAAGCGCAUGUAGGUGGCUUAGUAAGUCUGAUGUGAAAUCCCAGGACUCAAUUCUGGAACUGCAUUGGAUACUGCUAGGCUAGAGUAUGGGAGAGGUAGGCGGAAUUCUUGGUGUAGAGGUGAAAUUCGUAGAUAUCAAGAGGAACAACAGAGGCGAAGGCGGCUUACUGGACCAUAACUGACACUGAGAUGCGACAGUGUGGGGAGCAAACAGG